rnacentral:rRNA from 1 species
AUAUAUAAUAAUAAUAAUAAUAUUAAAUUUAAAUUAAAAAAUGAAGUAAUAUAUUUUUUUUUUAUUAAAAUUUAAUUUUUGUUUAAAAUUUAAUUAUUUAUAUUGAUAUAUAUAAAUAAGUUAUAAAUAAAUAUAUAUAUAUUAAAAAUAUAUUUAAAUAAAGAAUGAUAAUAUAAAAUUUUAAUAAUUAAAUAAUUUUAGAAUUAGAAAUAUAAUUAAAUUUGGUAAAAAUUGUGCCAGCAUCUGCGGUUAUACAAUAUUUAAAUUAAAUUAAAUUUAUUAAUUUUAAUAAUUUUAUUAAAAAAGGAAAAAAAAAUAAAAAAGUAAAUUUUAUGGUUAAAUAAUAAAUUUAUAAUUUUUUUUAAUAGAAUUUAAAUUAUUUAAUAAAUUUAAUAAGUAAACUAGGAUUAGAUACCCUAUUAUUUUAAAAAUAAAUAAAUUAAAGAUUUAAAUAGUAUUUUGAUAAAAUCAUGAAAUUUAAAAAUUUUGACGGUAUUUUAAUUUUUUUAGAGGAAUUUGUUCUAUAAUUGAUUAUUCACAAUAAGAUUAUCUUAUGUUUGUUUAUAAAAUUAAAUUUAUUUUAAUUUAUAUAUCGUCGUUAAAAUAAUUUUUUUUGAAAAUAAUUUUUAUAAUUUUUUAUAAAAAAAAAAUCAGAUCAAGGUGUAGUAAAUAUAUAAGAAAGAAAUGAAUUACAAUAAAUUUAUUUUUUGAAUUAUAAAAUUUAAAUUUAUUAUGAAAUUGGAUUUAAUUGUAAAUUAAAUUAAUUAAUUUAAUUGAUAACAAA